rnacentral:rRNA from 1 species
AAUUCACUAGUGAUUAGGGCAUAUUAGCCCUCGCUUUUCUCGACUCUAAGGUGGUCGACGAAUAAGAGCUGGGCAAGACCGGUGCCAGCCGCCGCGGUAAUACCGGCAGCUCAAGUGAUGUCCCAUAUUAUUGGGCCUAAAGCGUCCGUAGCUGGCCGACCAAGUCUAUCGGGAAAUCCACCCGCCCAACGGGUGGGCGUCCGGUAGAAACUGGCCGGCUUGGAACCGGAAGGCUCAGAGAGUACGUCCGGGGUAGGAGUGAAAUCCCGUAAUCCCGGACGGACUACCGAUGGCGAAAGCACUCUGAGAAGACGGAUUCGACAGUGAGGGACGAAAGCUCGGGUCUCAAACCGGAUUAGAUACCCGGGUAGUCCGAGCCGUAAACAAUGCUCGUUAGGUGUGGCACCCACUACGAGUGGGUGCUGCGCCGUAGGGAAGCCGCUAAACGAGCCGCCUGGGAAGUACGUCCGCAAGGAUGAAACUUAAAGGAAUUGGCGGGGGAGCACUACAACCGGAGGAGCCUGCGGUUUAAUUGGACUCAACGCCGGACAUCUCACCAGCCCCGACAUCAGUAAUGACAGUCAUGUUGACGACAUCCGCUCGAGCUGAUGAGAGGAGGUGCAUGGCCGCCGUCAGCUCGUACCGUGAGGCAUCCUGUUAAGUCAGGCAACGAGCGAGAUCCACGUCCCUAAUUGCCAGCACCAUCGCACGAUGGGUGGGUACAUUAGGGAGACUGCCAGUGCUAAACUGGAGGAAGGAAUGGGCAACGGUAGGUCAGUAUGCCCCGAAUGGGCUGGGCAACACGCGGGCUACAAUGGUCAGGACAACGGGUUCCAACACUGAAAAGUGACGGUAAUCUCGCAAACCUGGUCGUAGUUCGGAUUGUGGGCUGAAACUCGCCCACAUGAAGCUGGAUUCGGUAGUAAUCGCGUGUCAGAAGCGCGCGGUGAAUACGUCCCUGCUCCUUGCACACACCGCCCGUCAAAGCACCCGAGUGAGGUCCGGAUGAGGCCACAUCACUGUGGUCAAAUCUGGGCUUCGCAAGGG